rnacentral:rRNA from 1 species
UACGGGGGGUGCAAGCGUUGUUCGGAAUUACUGGGCGUAAAGGGCUCGUAGGCGGCCCACUAGGUCGGAUGUGAAAUCCCCAGGCUUAACCUGGGAAUUGCAUCCGAUACUGGCUGGCUUGAAUCCGGGAGAGGGAUGCGGAAUUCCAGGUGUAGCGGUGAAAUGCGUAGAUAUCUGGAGGAACACCGGUGGCGAAGGCGGCAUCCUGGACCGGUAUUGACGCUGAGGCGCGAAAGCUAGGGGAGCAAACGGG